rnacentral:rRNA from 1 species
AGAGUUUGAUCAUGGCUCAGAUUGAACGCUGGCGGCAUGGCUAAAACAUGCAAGUCGAACGAACCCGCAAGGGUGAGUGGCGAAAGGGUUAGUAAUACGAUCGAAUGUGCCCUGAGGUGGCGGAUAGCCGCGGGAAACUGCGGGUAACACGUCAUGAUCUCUCCGGAGCAAACAUUUAUGGCCUUGGGAGCAGCGAUCGUCCUAUCAGCUAGUUGGCGGGGUAAUGGCCCACCAAGGCGAAGACGGGUAGCGGGUGUGAGAGCACGGCCCGCAACAUCGGGACUGAGACACUGCCCGGACUCCUACGGGAGGCUGCAGUAACGAAUCUUCCGCAAUGGGCGAAAGCCUGACGGAGCAAUGCCGCGUGUGGGAUGAAGCAUCUUUGGUGUGUAAACCACUGUCAGGGAACGGAACCAAUGAUUGUUCCCAAAGGAAGUGGCGACUAACUCUGUGCCAGCAGUCGCGGUAAUACAGAGGCCACAAGCGUUAGUCGGAAUCACUGGGCUUAAAGGGUGCGUAGGCGGACUCGAAAGCGUUCUGUGAAAGCCCCCGGCUCAACCGGGGAACAGCAGGGCGAACUGCGAGUCUAGAAGCAAGUAGGGGCGGGCAGAACAGUGGGUGGAGCGGUGAAAUGCGUAGAUAUCCACUGGAAUGCCGAUGGGGAAGCCGGCCCGCUGGGCUUGUCUUGACGCUGAGGCACGAAAGCGUGGGGAUCAAACAGGAUUAGAUACCCUAGUAGUCC